AGUAUCGCGAGAUCAGGAAGGUGGCCGAGUGUGUCGCCGCGGCCAUCAGGGCAUAGAUAAGGAAGAAAAAAGUUUUGGAAACUACUUCUGAGAGGGAAAAAUAUGCCUGAAAUUAACCAACAGCCAGCUUGUACUUAACAUACAAAAUAAACAAAAGAAUCAACUAUUGUGUAAGGAGAGAACCCCGAAAUGUUCCUCGUUAAUCGAAAUUCAAGAGUAUUAGCGUCGGGAAAGAUCUAGAGAGUCAACUCCCUCAUAUUAAAGAAGAGAAGAUGGAUUGCUGUCCUACAUUCAAAGGAGGCCAUUAGGAGCAUGAACCAAGGGAAGCUGGUUUUCCUUCUAUGCCUCUGCCAGGUUAUUAAAUCACCAGGCCUCCUAAUCAAGAAUUGCUCUUCGUGUGGAAGAACUCCUCUUCACCUGUUGCUUCCUCAUAUUAUUUCCUGCCUCAGAGAUGUAGAGGAACUGUAAAAUUAGAAUAGGAUGUUUGGGUCUAGACAAAUCCCAGUGAAAGCUAAAUUAUGGAAAUUUAGUCUUUGUAUAACAAAUGAAAACCCUAAGUAGGCUGCCAAGGUACAAAAGCUUUCUUAACCCGAGACAUUGCAAAUACAACGUACUAAGUGAAAAAAGGAGUGGGUGGGGAACAGUGGGAGUAGAAGGCUGUCUAAAGGGAAGCUAGGAAAAUGGAAAGUAAUAUGGAGAAGCAACAUGCUCCAAGUGGAGUGUUUUACUAUUUCAUUGCCUGUUGAACUGUACACAAAUAGGCACUACUACAUAAAAUAGCUAUUUGAAACAGUUAUGCCAUUGCAGGGUAGAACAUUACUCUCAAGUAAAGGCUUCUAACUGUACAAUUAAAGUCUCAAUCUUCUUUUUUUAACAGAAUUUCUC
rnacentral:lncRNA from 1 species